UUUUUUUUUUUUUUUUAGAUGGGGUCUGUCUCUGUCACCCAUGCUGGAGUGCAGUGGUGCAAUCAUGGCUCACAGCACCUUAACCUCCUGGUCUCAGGUGAUCCACCUCAGUCUCCUGGGUAGCUGACACUACAGGGGCACACCAGCACACCUGGCUAAUUUCUAUAUUUUUUGUAGAGACGGGGCUCAGACUGAUCUCCAACUCCUGGGCUCAAGUGGUCCUCCCACCUUGGCCUCUCAAAGUGUUGGGAUUACAAAUGUGAGACACCACGUGUGGCCGGGAAUCCCAGUUUUAAAUAAUAAUGCAAAUGGGACUAUAUGAGGUUGUCAUCUGGUCUCCCUUCUGAUUGUGGGGCUCUUCUGAAAGCCUAGGUACUUACAUCAUCUGAGAGAUACAAAAAUAACUACUUUAGUAAAAUAUUUUGUAUUUACAGGGAAGUUAUAAAUAACAAAGCAAUCUGACCCAGAAGAUGAACGCCCAGCCCUUGCCAAAGCAGUGGAGCACUGCCAGCUGCAGGCUUCCUGACUGGUAUUUAGAAUGGUAGUGGCGAAUGAAAGGAGCCUCUCAUCACAGGAAGUGCUCCGGGAAGAGACAGAGCUCCAAUUGUAUCCAACUUUUUAUCUCAAAAAAGUAACACAGACAAAAGGAGAGCAAUGUGGGAAAAUCCAUCAAGAGUCAAGAGAGCGCUCCUACAUUCAGGUAUAACAACUGGUGUUUAUGCCCUAUGCAGGGACUCCCAGUAACCAUAGCAACCAGGGUAUAGGAUAGCAAUCCAGUGCUGAAUUUCUGCAUUGUCUAUUAUUGUUUAUUAUGGGUCAUGGGUAGGGAAUUUGGGAUUUAGUGUAUUUUAUGAAACAUCCAUUUGCAAAGUUGUCAAGGAUUUUGCUGACUAUAAGGAUUCAGGGAGCCCAGUUUCUGUGUACUCUUGCUUGACGCCAGUUAUGUGACAUUUGGACCACUGCCAAAGGUCACCUGUUGUCCCUGCAUGCAUCACUGCUUCCUUCCCCGUCUAAUUCAACAUAACAGCCAGAGUGAUCCUUCCUAAAAGGUGUUAAAUCUCAUCACCACAAACUCCCCAGCUUCAGUGGCUUCCCAUCAUGCUUUAAGAAACUCCCUAAAUCCUUACCAUGGCUGACCGACAAGAGCCCUCAUGAUGGCCUCUUUGACUGCAUCUCUCAUCCUUGUUCCCCUUGCUCACUGUGAGUUAGCUGCCGUGGACUCUUGCUGGAACUUGACUGCAUCAGGCACUCUCCUGUCUCAGGGCCUCCCAUUUGCUGUUUCUGUAAAAGUGAUUUUAAAUUAAAGAGUCUUGUCCAGGCAUGGUAACUCAUGCCUGUAAUACCAGCACUUUGGGAGGCUGAGCACUUUGGGAGGAUCGCUUGAGCCCAGGAGUUCGAAACCAGCCUGGCAACAUGACGAAACCUUGUCUCCACAAAAAAUACAAAAAUUAGCUGGGCAUGGUGGCAUGUGCCUGCAGUCCCAGCUACUCAAAGGAGUGGGGAUGCUGAGGUUGGAGGAUCACUGAGCCCGGGAGGUUGAGGCUGCAGUGAGUUGAGAUGGCACCACUGCACUCCAGCCUUAGUGACAGAGUAAGAACGUGUCUAUUACCAAAAAAAAAACAAAACCAAAAAAAAAACAACUUUACCCUGCAGUCAAUUUUAAAGAAAGUCCUUUCUUUUUAGGGGAAAGGACAUAGGAUGUGAAAGAAUUACCCAUAGGCAGCAAAUGUAAUGCUGUCUCAUUAACCAAAAGAAAAACACACAGACUGCCAUUUUCCUAUUUCGAGUUGCAAAACUCACUAAUUAAAGAUGAAAUGAAAUGAGGAAGACCAUGCAGAUUUUUUUUUUUUUUAGGCAGAGUUUUGCUCGUCGCCCAGGCUGGAGUGCAAUGGUGUCAUCUCAGCUCACCGCAACCUCUGCC
ensembl:lncRNA